rnacentral:rRNA from 1 species
UAGGGAAUAUUGCACAAUGGAGGCAACUCUGAUGCAGCGACGCCGCGUGAGUGAUGAAGGCCUUCGGGUCGUAAAGCUCUGUCGCAGGGGAAUAACACAAUGAAUGUACCCUGUAAGAAAGGAUCGGCUAACUUCGUGCCAGCAGCCGCGGUAAGACGAGGGAUCCUAGCGUUGUUCGGAAUUAUUGGGCGUAAAGCGGAUGUAGGUGGCUUUGUAAGUCAGGUGUGAAAGCCUAGGGCUCAACCCUAGA